rnacentral:rRNA from 1 species
AAUAGAUACCCUGGUAGUCCACGCCGUAAACGAUGUCGACUUGGAGGUUGUGCCCUUGAGGCGUGGCUUCCGGAGCUAACGCGUUAAGUCGACCGCCUGGGGAGUACGGCCGCAAGGUUAAAACUCAAAUGAAUUGACGGGGGCCCGCACAAGCGGUGGAGCAUGUGGUUUAAUUCGAUGCAACGCGAAGAACCUUACCUACUCUUGACAUCCAGAGAACUUAGCAGAGAUGCUUUGGUGCCUUCGGGAACUCUGAGACAGGUGCUGCAUGGCUGUCGUCAGCUCGUGUUGUGAAAUGUUGGGUUAAGUCCCGCAACGAGCGCAACCCUUAUCCUUUGUUGCCAGCGGUUAGGCCGGGAACUCAAAGGAGACUGCCAGUGAUAAACUGGAAGAAGGUGGGGAUGACGUCAAGUCAUCAUGGCCCUUACGAGUAGGGCUACACACGUGCUACAAUGGCAUAUACAAAGAGAAGCGACCUCGCGAGAGCAAGCGGACCUCAUAAAGUAUGUCGUAGUCCGGAUUGG